rnacentral:tRNA from 1 species
GCCCGGAUGGCGGAAUGGCAGACGCGGCCGGCUUAAACCCGGCUGGUGGGCAACCACCGUGCGGGUUCGAAUCCCGCUCCGGGCA